GGUGCUGUGGCUUAGCUGGUUAAAGUGCCUGCCGAGUAAACAGGAGUUUCUGAGUUUGAAUCCCAGCAGUGCCU
rnacentral:tRNA from 1 species